GACGAACGCUGGCGGCGUGCUUAACACAUGCAAGUCGAACGGAAGGGCCCUGCUUUUGUGGGGUGCUCGAGUGGCGAACGGGUGAGUAACACGUGAGUAACCUGCCCUUGACUUUGGGAUAACUUCAGGAAACUGGGGCUAAUAUCGGAUAGGAGCUCCUGCUGCAUGGUGGGGGUUGGAAAGUUUCGGCGGUUGGGGAUGGACUCGCGGCUUAUCAGCUUGUUGGUGGGGUAGUGGCUUACCAAGGCUUUGACGGGUAGCCGGCCUGAGAGGGUGACCGGCCACAUUGGGACUGAGAUACGGCCCAGACUCCUACGGGAGGCAGCAGUGGGGAAUAUUGCACAAUGGGCGGAAGCCUGAUGCAGCAACGCCGCGUGCGGGAUGACGGCCUUCGGGUUGUAAACCGCUUUCGCCUGUGACGAAGCGUGAGUGACGGUAAUGGGUAAAGAAGCACCGGCUAACUACGUG
rnacentral:rRNA from 1 species